rnacentral:rRNA from 1 species
CGGAACGGGUGGAGUAACGCGUGAAUAACCUGACUCAAAGAGGGGGAGUAACAACGGGAAACUAGUUGCUAAUACCGCAUGAGACCACAACACCGCAUGAUGAAGGGGUCAAAGAUUUAUCGCUUUGAGAGGGGUUCGCGUCCCAUUAGGUAGUUGGAGGGGUAACGGCCCACCAAGCCAACGAUGGGUAGCCGAGCUGAGAGGCUGAUCGGCCACACUGGAACUGAGACACGGUCCAG